AGGGGAGAUCAUACCAGCACUAAUGCACCGGAUCCCAUCAGAACUCCGCAGAUAAGCGUGCUUGGGCAAGAGAAGUGCUAGGAUGGGUGACCUCCUGGGAAGUGCUCGUGUUGCACCUC
rnacentral:rRNA from 2 species